ACCUAAGAAGUUAAAUUAUAAUUUUGAUUUGUGGGAUCAAAGAAGUAGGUAUUCUACCUUAGGUA
rnacentral:tRNA from 1 species